CCCUGGUUAGCUCAGUUGGUAGAGCGCUCCACCUGUAAUGGAGAGGUCCCGGGUUCGAUACCCGAACCAGGUG
rnacentral:tRNA from 2 species